GGUAGAUUUCAUUUAAUUCGUCCUGCGAAUUUUUGCCCAUGCUAUAUAUAGCUUCUUCCUGCACAGGUUCUCAGAAAUUUAUAACUAGAAAUCAAGUCAUAUUGACAGAUCGUUUCUUGAUCCUCCAGCAUCAACCCUUCCCUUCUUUAUGCUAUUGCUUCCUCUUUUUCCCUUAAAAACAAAAGGAAACUUGUUCACAUGAUCUUGUGAAAUCUUCUCCACCACACACACAAAAUCCCUAUAAAAAAAAAGUGGAGAGAGGGAAAGGGACGUACACACAAAAGAAGAGAGCCCACAAUCGUUCAAAACGAAUAAUAUUAAUUUCAUCGUCGUUUCGAAGGAAGAAAAGCUGCACUGAUGGAGAGAACUUUGUCUCCUAGAAAUAUAGAAGAAGAAGGGCCGCUGUCAUGUUGGGGUCGUCUCAAGUACCUGAAGUUUCCAUGGACUAAAAGAAGAAUAACCAGCAACACCACAACGUCUCCAGGACAGAAGAGAAGUGCUAUAGGUUGCAAUUUAACAGCAACUCUCACGAGAAACAAUAGAAAACCAAAAGUCCCAGCUGGAGGACGUUUUAGGUACUCCCCCUUAAGCUAUGCUCAAAAUUUUGACGAUGGUAGCUGGGACAAUGAUGAUAUCGAGGAUGAUGAAUAUCCCGGGUUCUCUUCAAGGUUUGCUCCACCUCCAUCAAGAUCACUUGAAGAAGAUAAAAGACAGAGCGCUGGUUGACAGAAUUUCUUCCGAGAAAGUUGGUGUACUGACUAAGCUUAGGUUAAUGGCUGAAGUUGAAUUCGAACUCUGGGAUGGGCCCGUCCUCACCAAAUUGAUCCUGUAAAGACCAAGAAAGAGAGGAAUCCCGACUGUUCUCCUAUGCAAAGUCUACCUCGGACCCGUUAAUUAGUCGUUGCGCUGCUUGGCCUAAUUUGAGAUUUUAGAAGGAACUUGGAAAAGGUGGAGUCAUGUAUCCGUCUGUUGCCUGGCUGCAGUUUUAAUACAAAAUCUUCAACUA